UACGAAGGGGGCUAGCGUUGCUCGGAAUCACUGGGCGUAAAGCGCACGUAGGCGGACUUUUAAGUCAGGGGUGAAAUCCUGGAGCUCAACUCCAGAACUGCCUUUGAUACUGGAAGUCUUGAGUCCGGAAGAGGUAAGUGGAACUGCGAGUGUAGAGGUGAAAUUCGUAGAUAUUCGCAAGAACACCAGUGGCGAAGGCGGCUUACUGGUCCGGUACUGACGCUGAGGCACGAAAGCGUGGGUAGCAAACAGG
rnacentral:rRNA from 1 species